UAAAUGCACAUAACACAUGGAGAAGCCUUA
rnacentral:piRNA from 1 species